rnacentral:tRNA from 1 species
CCCCGGUAGCUCAGGUGGUGGAGCACCGCCUUGGUACAGCUGUCUCGAAACGCGGGUUCAAGUCCCGCCCGGGG